GGUCCCGUAGUUCAACGGAUAGAAUAGAAGUUUCCUAAACUUUAGAUGGCAGUUCGAUUCUGCCCGGGACUAC
rnacentral:tRNA from 2 species